rnacentral:rRNA from 1 species
GACGAACGCUGGCGGCGUGCUUAACACAUGCAAGUCGAACGGAAAGGCCCUGCUUUUGUGGGGUGCUCGAGUGGCGAACGGGUGAGUAACACGUGAGUAACCUGCCCUUGACUUUGGGAUAACUUCAGGAAACUGGGGCUAAUACCGGAUAGGAGCUCCUGCUGCAUGGUGGGGGUUGGAAAGUUUCGGCGGUUGGGGAUGGACUCGCGGGUUAUCAGCUUGUUGGUGGGGUAGUGGCUUACCAAGGCUUUGACGGGUAGCCGGCCUGAGAGGGUGACCGGCCACAUUGGGACUGAGAUACGGCCCAGAAGCCUACGGGAGGCAGCAGUGGGGAAUAUUGCACAAUGGGCGAAAGCCUGAUGCAGAAACGCCGCGUGCGGGAUGACGGCCUUCGGGUUGUAAACCGCUUUCGCCUGUGACGAAGCGUGAGUGACGGUAAUGGGUAAAGAAGCACCGGCUAACUACGUG